rnacentral:rRNA from 1 species
GACGAACGCUGGCGGCGUGCUUAACACAUGCAAGUCGAACGGUAAGGCCCUUCGGGGUACACGAGUGGCGAACGGGUGAGUAACGCGUGAGUAACCUGCCCUUCACUCUGGGAUAACAGUUGGAAACGGCUGCUAAUACCGGAUAUUCAGCUCCUGUCGCAUGGUGGGGGUUGGAAAGUUUUGGUGGUGGAGGAUGGGCUCGCGUCCUAUCAGCUUGUUGGUGGGGUGAUGGCCUACCAAGGCGUCGACGGGUAGCCGGCCUGAGAGGGCGACCGGCCACAUUGGGACUGAGAUACGGCCCAAACUCCUACGGGAGGCAGCAGUGGGGAAUAUUGCACAAUGGACGGAAGCCUGAUGCAGCAACGCCGCGUGCGGGAUGACGGCCUUCGGGUUGUAAACCGCUUUCAGCAGGGACGAAGCGCAAGUGACGGUACCUGCAGAAGAAGCACCGGCUAACUACGUG